CGGAGGCGCAGCUCCGCCGUUCUGCCCUCCGUCUCCACCGAGGCCCAGACCGUGGCAUUCGCCGCCCCCUGCUCCGGGACGCCGACGUGCAGAGCAACAGGAGGAGGUGCGAGGCUUCCUAGCUGUAGUCCCGCCGGUCCAGCAGCUUCUCCCUCACAUCCCUUGCAGCUACCUUGGAGGGGCAACAGUUUCCAGACUGAAAGAUUGAGCGGGAGGAGCUGUUCUGCGUGCUGAUGGUUGGUGAACAUGUUGCACAUGCCCUGCUGCUCAGGCAUUCCAGCUGCCUGGGACCUAGACGACGACCCAAGCCUGAUGCAGCUGCAUGUCUUUAUUGAGUGCAGUUCUGCCAUAGUGAGCCCAAGGAGGUCGUGAAGGCGAGGAUGGGGUGUAGGAACAACGAGUUGCUCCACCUGGACAACGCUACUGCUGCUACUGGUGACCACUCCAACCGCCCACCACUCCGAGCUGCUGCUGCUGGAACAAAGACGGUGGGAGGAGCUGCACCUCUUGCUAGUGGGUUGCGACCAAGCCAUGCUCUUGCUCGUGCCGGCCCCGGACAAAGACCACCGCCGCCGACACGCUGUAAGCACCCCUGCCCUGCUAGCGACAGGAUGGCCAAAGGACUGAAAAAAGAAAGAAAUUAUCCUGCUGCGUGUGAGCAACAGACUCCACAAGGAUUGAUCAGUAUGAGGUGUUCGCACAGAUUGGGAAAUGAGCAUGGACAAGUAAGAGGUGUUGGAGCGGAUUGCUAAAGGAGAAUUUGACUCUGCUCUGUUAGUGAGGCACAAGGUAUGUGCUGAAGAAGAUCCAGCUUGCGCCACAAACUGACCGCAGUCACCGGUCUGCCUAGAAGGAGGUUAUUUAUGUCAUUCUUCAUACAAAACAUGUCGUGGUGGUUGUAGCGCCGGUGGCUCCAUUUUGGCAGGAAAGAUGGUGUCGGUAUCCUUCACCGCCGCCAAGUUCCUGGCGACGUCAGCUGUGUCGGUAUCCUUCACCUCAGCCGAAUUUAAGACACAUGUGCGGCAACUGGCUGACCAUUGCCUCAGCGUUGACACACAAGAAGAAGGGUUGACAAAGACCUACGCUGGACGUCAACAAGGACGUGCAGCCUACCCCAACUUGCUUGGGAAAAAGGCUUUGACAAUGUUGUUGUGGGCAGUGGUGGGUUCAGGAACGACGACUUGCUCCACUUGGACAACGCUGGGGACAAGAGCGGCCACGACAACUUGUAGUAAGGUUCACUGUCAUGUAUCUAAAGGUCUGCUCAUUUCUGCUGCAUUAGGCCAUGGAGCACCUCCUCCGCCGGCAGCAGCUUGUGGUGCGCUGGCUGCCAUGACGGAAACGGCAAGGAGCCAAGCAGCUGCAGCAGCCGAGGCACUGGAGAUGGAGGUCCUCCUCAAUGGCUUCAGUAUGCCCGUCUCGACCUCACAAGCCAUAGAGCUAUUUACGCAUGCAUUUGAGGAAUGCCAACUGCUGUAAUAACAAGUGUGCCCACAACAAUCAGGGCCUGGAGCAAGUAUGUAUACCGAAGGAAGUUGUGGUCCAGGAUUGCAGCGAUGCGGCACUGUUUUGCAGUACCCUACACUGUCGUGCCACAUGGACUGCAUGUACGUUAGCUCCGCAUUCGACUCUGGGGUUUCGGUAAAGAAGAAAAGGCUAAGAUGAUCUGAAGUAACUAGUUUAGGUCCUCGUAAUGUUUUUGGCCUCUUUGGAGUUUGGCAUGUCCUCUAAAGCUGGCAUUGGCGGUGCCGCUGCUGGUGAUAUGCUGGCCGUGGCGUGUGUGUGAUACUCUCGUUUUGGUACUUGUAGGGUCGUCUUUAUAAUGCUCCUGGCCAGGGAGUUGUGGUGAUACUAAGUAGCUGGUCAUACUUUCGAGUCUUGUGGGUUUUUGUAUUUGAAAUGAUAUGAUUUGUGCUGUGUGCACAUUAUUGUUUGUUGCGUGUUGUGAAUGAUAAAACAAGAUGAGAAGUUGUGCCAAAA